rnacentral:rRNA from 1 species
CGGGCAUGCCUAAUACAUGCAAGUCGAACGCUGAAGCACUCUGCUUGCAGAGUGUGGAUGAGUGGCGAACGGGUGAGUAACACUGGGGAACCUACCCAUGAGAGGGGGAUAACAUCCGGAAACGGGUGCUAAUACCGCAUAGGUGUCAGAAACGCAUGUUUCAGACAUUAAAGAUGGCUUUUGCUAUCGCUCAUGGAUGGCCCCGCGGCGUAUUAGCUAGUUGGUGAGGUAAUGGCUCACCAAGGCAGUGAUACGUAGCCGACCUGAGAGGGUGAUCGGCCACACUGGGACUGAGACACGGCCCAGACUCCUACGGGAGGCAGCAGUAGGGAAUCUUCCACAAUGGGCGAAAGCCUGAUGGAGCAAUGCCGCGUGAAUGAAGAAGGUCUUCGGAUCGUAAAGUUCUGUUAUCGGAGAAGAACAAGGGAUGUAGUAACUGGCAUCCCCCUGACGGUAUCCGACCAGAAAGUCACGGCUAACUACGUG